AUUGAACGCUAGCGGGAUGCUUUACACAUGCAAGUCGAACGAGUGGCGGACGGGUGAGUAAUAUAUCGGAACGUGCCCAGUAGCGGGGGAUACCUCCCGGAAAGAGUGGCAAUUCCCCAAUCCUUUGGGAGCGGCCAAUAUCGGAUUAGCUAGUUGGUGGGGUAAAGGCUCACCAAGGAAACGAUCCGUAGCUGGUUUGAGAGGACGACCAGCCACACUGGGACUGAGACACGGCCCAGACUCCUACGGGAGGCAGCAGUUGGGAAUUUUGGACAAUGGGGGAAACCCUGAUCCAGCCAUCCCGCGUGUAUGAGAAGGCCUUCGGGUUGUAAAGUACUUUUGGCAGAGAAGCGGUAUCUACAGAAUAAGCACCGGCUAACUACGUGCCAGCCGCCGCGGUAAUUC
rnacentral:rRNA from 1 species